rnacentral:rRNA from 1 species
AUGUCCACCUCCACUGCCCAAAUUUCCUCUGGCCUAAACUACAACACCUCCGAGCCGCUCACCCGGACGAACUAUGUUCUCUGGAGAGCGCAAGCGCGAUCCCAGAUACUGGGCGCUGGCUUGUAUGGCUAUAUCGAUCAAACCAUCCAGGAGCCUCCCAAAACAAUCACAACCAAAGAUAAAGAGGGCAAGGACCAGGUCGUCCCCAACCCUGCAUAUGCUCCCUGGCUAGUCCAGGACCAGCAGAUCGUCGCUUAUCUUCUCCGAAAUCUCUCCAAGGAGGUUCUCGUUCAGGUUGCCUCCCUUGAAACCUCUCACGCGAUCUGGACUGCUCUUGCAUCUAUGUUUGCA